rnacentral:rRNA from 2 species
GAACGCGCCCUUCGGUUCGGAAUAACUCAGGGAAACUUGGGCUAAUACCGGAUACGCCCUUACGGGGAAAGAUUUAUUGCCGAAGGAACGGCCCGCGUCCGAUUAGCUUGUUGGUGAGGUAACGGCUCACCAAGGCGACGAUCGGUAGCUGGUCUGAGAGGAUGACCAGCCUCACUGGGACUGAGACACGGCCCAGACUCCUACGGGAGGCAGCAGUGGGGAAUAUUGGACAAUGGGCGCAAGCCUGAUCCAGCCAUGCCGCGUGGGUGAUGAAGGCCCUAGGGUUGUAAAGCCCUUUCAGCGGGGAAGAUAAUGACGGUACCCGCAGAAGAAGCCCCGGCUAACUUCGUGCCAGCAGCCGCGGUAAUACGAAGGGGGCUAGCGUUGCUCGGAAUUACUGGGCGUAAAGCGCACGUAGGCGGAUUGUUAAGUCGGGGGUGAAAUCCUGGAGCUCAACUCCAGAACUGCCUUCGAUACUGGCGAUCUCGAGUUCGGGAGAGGUGAGUGGAACUGCGAGUGUAGAGGUGAAAUUCGUAGAUAUUCGCAAGAACACCAGUGGCGAAGGCGGCUCACUGGCCCGAUACUGA